rnacentral:rRNA from 1 species
GACGUAGGGCGCGAGCGUUGUCCGGAUUUAUUGGGCGUAAAGAGCUCGUAGGCGGUCUGUCACGUCGGCUGUGAAAACCCGGGGCUCAACCCCGGGCCUGCAGUCGAUACGGGCAGACUAGAGUGCGGUAGGGGAGACUGGAAUUCCUGGUGUAGCGGUGAAAUGCGCAGAUAUCAGGAGGAACACCGGUGGCGAAGGCGGGGUCUCUGGGGCCGUAACUGACGCUGAGGAGCGAAAGCGUGGGGAGCGAACAGG